rnacentral:rRNA from 1 species
UACGUAGGGAGCAAGCGUUGUCCGGAUUCAUUGGGCGUAAAGAGCUCGUAGGCGGUUCGAUAAGUCGGGUGUGAAACCUCCAGGCUCAACCUGGAGACGCCACCCGAUACUGUCGUGACUAGAGUCCAGUAGGGGAGCGUGGAAUUCCUGGUGUAGCGGUGAAAUGCGCAGAUAUCAGGAGGAACACCAGCGGCGAAGGCGGCGCUCUGGGCUGGCACUGACGCUGAGGAGCGAAAGCGUGGGGAGCGAACAGG